rnacentral:rRNA from 1 species
AUUGAACGCUGGCGGCAUGCCUUACACAUGCAAGUCGAACGGUAACAGGUCUUCGGAUGCUGACGAGUGGCGAACGGGUGAGUAAUACAUCGGAACGUGCCCGAGAGUGGGGGAUAACGAAGCGAAAGCUUUGCUAAUACCGCAUACGAUCUCAGGAUGAAAGCAGGGGACCGCAAGGCCUUGCGCUCACGGAGCGGCCGAUGGCAGAUUAGGUAGUUGGUGGGAUAAAAGCUUACCAAGCCGACGAUCUGUAGCUGGUCUGAGAGGACGACCAGCCACACUGGGACUGAGACACGGCCCAGACUCCUACGGGAGGCAGCAGUGGGGAAUUUUGGACAAUGGGCGCAAGCCUGAUCCAGCCAUGCCGCGUGCAGGAUGAAGGCCUUCGGGUUGUAAACUGCUUUUGUACGGAACGAAAAGACUCUGGUUAAUACCUGGGGUCCAUGACGGUACCGUAAGAAUAAGCACCGGCUAACUACGUG